rnacentral:rRNA from 1 species
AUUGAACGCUGGCGGCAUGCCUUACGCAUGCAAGUCGAGCGGCAGCGCCGGGGGCAACCCUGGCGGCGAGCGGCGUACGGGUGAGUAAUGCAUCGGAACGUGUCCUCUUGUGGGGGAUAACCAGUCGAAAGACUGGCUAAUACCGCAUGAGAUCGAGAGAUGAAAGCAGGGGACCCGCAAGGGCCUUGCGCGAGAGGAGCGGCCGAUGCCCGAUUAGCUAGUGGCGGGGUAAAAGCCCACCAAGGCGACGAUCGGUAGCUGGUCUGAGAGGACGACCAGCCACGCUGGGACUGAGACACGGCCCAGACUCCUACGGGAGGCAGCAGUGGGGAAUUUUGGACAAUGGGGGCAACCCUGAUCCAGCCAUGCCGCGUGCGGGAAGAAGGCCUUCGGGUUGUAAACCGCUUUUAUACGGAAAGAAGGAGUCGCGGUAAUACCUGCGAUGACAGACGGUACCGGAUGAAUAAGCACCGGCUAACUACGUGCCAGCAGCCGCGGUAAUACGUAGGGUGCGAGCGUUAAUCGGAAUUACUGGGCGUAAGCGUGCGCAGGCGG